rnacentral:rRNA from 1 species
AUGGUAACUAAUCUCCAUUUCCUGGCAUUUGUUGACAUGAGUGGUAUAAAUCUCAGCAGCGCGGAUGUAUUUCUCGUGGCCAAUACAAUCCCAUCUCUGAAGGCCCUUAUUCUUAUCAAUUGCUCUCUUCCAAAUGCAAACCAGUCGUUUACGCACAUAAACCUCACAAAACUAGAGCAGCUUUAUCUCUCCAGAAACUAUUUGGGCCAUCAAAUUGAAACCUGUUGGUUCUGGAACCUCACAACCAUCAAGGACCUAGCACUCACUUCAACUUAUCUUUAUGGUCCAUUCCCUGAUGCGUUAGGAGGUAUGAUUUCCCUCCAACACCUGGAUUUUGGCAAUAACUAUAAUUCAGCCACAAUGAUGGUGGACUUGAAAAAUCUAUGUGAUUUACAUAGCCUACAGCUCGAUGGGAGUCUUUCCUCUGCAAACCUGACAGACUUCAUGACGAGACUGCCACAAUGUUCAUCCAGCAAAUUGUGGCUCUUGAGCUCAAGUCACAACAAUAUGGCAGGAAUGCUGCCAGAUAGGGUGGGGUACUUCACCAGCUUGGAGCACCUUUACCUUUUUAAUAACAGCAUUAGUGGAGCUAUACCAACUGGGUUAGUGAAUUGUACUAGUUUGCGAUUAGUCUCUCUCGGUUUGAACCAACUAAGUGGCCACAUACCAACAUUGCCGAGAAGCCUCACCCGAGUGGACUUGUCCAUGAACAACUUGUCAGGACCUUUGCCAUCAGAUUUUGGAGCUCCAGACCUUGCAGCACUAAGUCUAUCCUCCAAUAACAUCACUGGUCACAUUCCUAGAGCUAUUUGCAAUUUGCAAAACCUAGUUUUCUUGGAUUUGUCCAGGAAUAGGUUUGUGGGAGAAUUUCCCAGGUGUUCUUCAAUGCCAAACUUGGCAUUCCUAUACUUAAGUAACAAUAACUUCUCGGGAAAUUUCCCGCCAUUGCUCCAAAAGUGCUCAGAAUUGAUUGUACUUGAUCUUGCAAUGAACAAGUUCGAUGGAGCACUACCAGUAUGGAUCGGUGACCUAGUGAACUUACGGUUUCUGCAGCUAAACCAUAACAUGUUCUAUGGGGAUAUUCCAGCUAGCAUCACAAGUCUUGUACUACUUCAACAAUUCAGUUUGGCAAGCAACAAUAUAUCAGGAUCAAUUCCAUCGUCCUUGUCAAAAUUAACAGCUAUGACCCUGAAACAUCUGCCGAGACUUUCAUCACAGUGGUUCGAGGAGACUACUUCACAACCGCUGCUCGUGGAUAUUUUGACUGUGGUGAUGAAGCAGCAAGAACUGAAGUUUCGAGGUGCUGCAGUUAUUGACAUGGUCAGCAUUGAUUUGUCACUCAACCACUUGACAGGUGCAAUUCCAGAUGAGAUAACUUCUCUGAACGGACUGCUGAAUUUGAAUUUAUCAUGGAAUCACCUGAGCCAGAAAAUUCCUGUGAAGAUUGGGGAUAUGAAAUCACUGGAAUCCCUCGACUUGUCAAGGGAACAAUAUCUCCGGUGA